rnacentral:antisense_RNA from 5 species
CUUUAUGGCGGGCGGUGCGUGGGGGCCGAAAGGCCCGCCGGCCCUUGGACCGGUCUUCCAACCGCGCACCGUCCGCCACCCUG